GUGCCGCUAGCUCAGCUGGAUAGAGCAGCCGCCUCCUAAGCGGCAGGUCACCCGUUCGAAUCGGGUGCGGCACAC
rnacentral:tRNA from 1 species